rnacentral:rRNA from 1 species
CGGAGUUGCUAGUAAUCGCGAAUCAGAAUGUCGCGGUGAAUACGUUCCCGGGUCUUGUACACACCGCCCGUCACACCAUGGGAGUCAGCAACGCCCGAAGUCAGUGACCUAACCAUAAAGGGAGGAGCUGCCGAAGGCGGGGCCGGUAACUGGGGUGAAGUCGUAACAAGGUACC